CAGACCCUACCUCCCAGACCCUCCCACCUCCUGGACAGCUCACUAAGAAUGCAGCUUCAAAAUGGAUGCUGUCAAGGAGGUGGGAGGGUCUGGGAGGGAGGGUCUG
rnacentral:miRNA from 1 species